ACUUUCCGGUUUCUCUUCAUAUUGCACAGGUCUUUCGCUUCUUACUUGAGAUUUUCGUGGGGAGAAACAACCUUGAGUUGUUAAACUAAUUUUUGGAGGCCUUGCUUCGGCAAGGCU